GAAACCGGAAGCUGCAAAGCAACUCUUCCAUCUGGGCUACAGUUGCUUGAUUGACUAGCUGACUUCGACUAGCUACGUUCAGGCAAUGCCCUUUGCAAAUGCCUUAUUACUGACAAAAGUACGCAUAACAAAAGAUCUGCAAACGAGUAAAGGGCGACGUAAAGUAAAAAAUUGAACGUGUAAAUGUUAAUUCAUAGUAGUAACAGAUCUAAUUUAACGUUUACGUUUAAUGUUUCAUGCAUGGGUUUUCUUACAAUCCUAACGAUACUUUACGUUCAACCUUUUGGCAGCUAUCUCGCUCCAUAUCUUUGGGACAUCCCUAACCCCUAUCUAACCUUAACCAUUUCAACUUCAGUGGGGGGUCGGGAUGUUCCAAGGAUUCCGGAUAGCACGGACAUUUUGAUUACACAAAGAGGUUGUUUCACCAGCCCAAAUUAAUUUAACUUUUUGGGAUUAUGAUCAAUUUGAUUUAUUGUACAUGGGUUAGUAGCUCUGGACUCUCUCACUAAAUCUAUUCAAAAUGUGGCAAUUUGCCAGGCUGAUGAGGAUGGGCAAGCCAGGCUGUCAUUGUAAUACGAAUGUGUUCUUAAACUGACUGGUCUAAUUAAAUUUAAAACAAAUACCUUGGAGCCCCCUGACAACUGCGAGUCGAGGACAUUUCUGUUUGCGACAUCAUAUCGACGUCUGCAACCAAGAAUAGCACUUGCCAAACACGCCAGCGUGUUUUCUUUCUUUUCUGAAGUCAUGGCGGGACCUUUAAACGCUAGAAGAGGACCAUGGAAAAAUAUAUUUCCUCAGGGAGAGACCUAUGCUCUCCUAAGGGAUGCAACACAUUUUGCCUGAUGUGGACCAUAAGUGAGCAUUGUUCAGGUGGUCGGGGAAUGGGAUUCCAGAGAUGGACUUUGCCAGGGUUGACAAAAUGUGGUGGGUCCACCCUCCACCACCAUCUGCAGCUCAGUAGAGAUGGAGAGGGGAGCUGAUAGGUUUUGAGUACCUCCUCGAUCAGACUGGUUUGGUGCUGCAGGAUCACAAGGCUGCCAUUGACGAACUAGAGACAGGUGAUCCCAAUGUCCAAGGGGAGGAUGAUGAGGGCUUUGUGGAGCUUGUGGAAUUUCAGGGCCUGACAGUUCCAGUGGUGGAGACAGCCCUGCCUCUUGUUGGCACCUUUCGUCCUACUCCCACUCCCUCUACCAGCAUCCAGUCCAGCUGCAUCAGUCAGUCCCCUGUCCUCCACUCCUGUACGGGCUACUCCACCACCUGGGCCUCUGUCCUCCACACUUGUGCUCGUCAGUCCCCUGUCCAACGUUCCUGUUUGGGCUAACAUUACUCCUUAGUCCAUGGACCAUAAAUGUUCUUUUUAAAGUGUGAUUUGGCUCUGGCAGUCAAAACAGCCAAAUACCCCAUCUAAAGGAUUGGGAUAGUGAAAUGUUUUGUUGUUUCGGCUCUGUACUCCAGCACUUUGGAUUUGCAAUGAUACAAAGUCAGCUUUAAUUUGAGGGUAUUUUCAUCCAUAUGUACUUUUUGUACAUAGUCCCCCCAUUUA